AGAGGGCAUAGUACUGCCCGUAUUGGAAACUCCCCAAUGCGGUUGCCAUGAGCGAAGGUAUCUCUGUUUCUUUUAAGAUGUGUCUGAAUUUGGACUAAAGAAACAGACGUGUUUUGGAAGAAGAAGAAAGAUAACCUGCGAAAUGAAUCAGCCACUGAGUGCUAAGGUUUUGAUCUGGAAAGGACUCUUGUCAUUGUAAUUGGAAUGCUAUAGAGGCAAAAUUGAGCUGUGACGCACCUAGAAAUGAGCUUUUGAAGGAGGGGCAAUGUUGAAGAAAAUUGACUGAUUAUAACGUGAAGGAAAUGAAGAAGGUAAACAAAUAUUUCACACAGCUACAGGAUAUAAUUUCCCUCUGCAAGUUAAUGGAUUUGGAUUUAUUAAACACAAUCAAAAGUCAUCACAUCAGUGGCUGCUAGAACAAAGGAUUAAGAUAGGAAUUGUGGAACUUGGACUAAUUAAGAGAAUUGGCACAGGAUCAAGGAAUAUCAACUCCUGAUAGCCGGAACACGGAAAGUCAUCCAAAUAUGUUUCAUUCGGAACUGUUUAAUUGGCUCUUUUGAUUUUAUUGUGAUUUCGCAUGAUUUGGCAUUGUAUUAAUGUGGCCUCCAUUGGAUUGUUAUUAAUGAAAAAUUAAUAAAAAUUAUUAUUAUUAUUA